rnacentral:rRNA from 1 species
UCUACGGGAGGCAGCAGCCGCGGUAAUACGUAGGGUGCAAGCGUUAAUCGGAAUUACUGGGCGUAAAGCGUGCGCAGGCGGUUCGCUAAGACAGAUGUGAAAUCCCCGGGCUUAACCUGGGAACUGCAUUUGUGACUGCAGCGCUGGAGUAUGGCAGAGGGGGGUGGAAUUCCACGUGUAGCAGUGAAAUGCGUAGAGAUGUGGAGGAAUACCGAUGGCGAAGGCAGCCCCCUGGGCCAAUACUGACGCUCAUGCACGAAAGCGUGGGGAGCAAACAGGAUUAGAUACCCUGGUAGUCCACGCCCUAAACGAUGUCAACUAGUUGUCGGGUCUUCAUUGACUUGGUAACGUAGCUAACGCGUGAAGUUGACCGCCUGGGGAGUACGGUCGCAAGAUUAAAACUCAAAUGAAUUGACGGGG